rnacentral:lncRNA from 1 species
GGCGCGCGACUCACCUUGCUGCUGGGCUCCAUGGCAGCGCUGCGCUGGUGGCUCUGGCUGCGCCGGGUACGCGGGUGGCGACGGGCGUGCGAGCGGCGCUCUCCCGCUCAGGCUCGUGCUCCGGUCCGGGGACUCCCACUGCGACUCUGACUCCGACCCCCGUCGUUUGGUCUCCUGCUCCCUGGCGUGCUCACUCGGGGACCCGCGACUAGCGACCGGCACGCUCGCUGUUGCUACCUCUUGCCUCUUGCCAGAGAGCGCGCGGACCGUAGCGUUUAUAGGACCCCGGCCAUUGGCUGGCGACGCCGGUGUGUCAGGGGUGUGUGGGCAGGACCUCGGGGCGGGGCCUGGGGCCCAGCCUGUCCUGGGCGGCGCUCUGCGGGGAGGGGGUGAGGGGAGUGGCCGGGGCCGGGGCCCCCCCUAACCACUGCCUCGCUCAGGCUGCCGAUCGGCUCGUUCUCUCUGCGUUGGGACCGCGGAGGGCAUUCGCUGUGUGACUCAGGGCAAGUGUGCGCACCUCUCUGAGCCUCCGCGGCCUUCUCUAGCAAAAUGGUGGAGCCGGUACCCGGCUGUAAGGCAAGCUGGGAUGCGCGGAGUAGCGGGUGGAAAGCUGGACUGGAGUUCUCACUCGGCCGCUGGGUGACUUCGGUGCACUAGGGAUAGUAACAGUACCACCUCGUAGGGUUGUAGAAAGACCAAGUGAGUUAAUAUUUGUAAAGUGUUUAGAACAGCGUCUACUGCAUGGAAAGUAGUAUUUAUUUGUUAGAGAGACUCCAGGAGGUCUUGCCCAGGGAUUGACUUCUCCCUUCCCUGUCUCCACCCCCCACAUUCCCGUUUGUGAGCCAAGCCUUGCUUUUGCACCGGCCGGGCUCUCUUGCCUGGAAAUGCAUACCCAUCUCAAACCUGGGCUUUAAAAUCACCUCCUCUGGGACGCCUUCCUCUACUUCUCACAGUUCAGGCCUGUUCUGCCCCACACAGCAGAAAAUGCCCACGAUGCAAUACCAGAGUCUGCAUGGGACCAUUUCAACAACCCUUAGAAGCUGACUCAGCUGUCUCCUGGCCCUGACUUUUCUAAGAUGAGAGGAGCUGGUAGGAACAAUUUGGGAACCCUCAAAGGCUGAGAGUAUCCCACCCACUUCACAGAUGAAGCAAACUGAGGCCCAGAGAAGGGAAAUUACUUGCCCAAGAUCACCCAGCAAGUAAGAAACAGAGCUGGAGAUGAGCUCAGGCCAGCACGGAACCACGCAAACUCCUUCUGUAGGCUUUGUAAAGGAUUGAUGAGAAAAGCAGAUGGUUAAGAGCUCUACAACUUCUGUGAGUUUCUCCACGUUGGUCAGGCUGGCCUCGAACUCCCACCCUCAGGUGAUCCACCUGCCUUGGCCUCCUAAAGUUCUGGGAUUACAGGCAUGAGCCACUGCACCCAACCUGAAUAAUCUAUUAGAGUCUUUAUCUCUAAGAAGAGAAAUACAUCUGAACUAAAGGGUAAAAAAUGGCAUGUUUUAAUUGGUAAGUCUAAAUGCAAAACGAUGACAAUAAAAUUUUAAAGGACUGCUUCCUUCUUAAGCUUUAUUUUCGUCCUCUGUCAGUGUAUUGCUAGACUCAUCUUUCCCAGACACCCAGACCUCCCACGAGAGUAUGUACAUUCCAUUUGGCUUGAUUUCAAGUGCUAAUGUAUAAAGCUUCUGGGUUCUGGGUCUGGCAAGCUAUUUCUCAUGUUCUCUGAUAAAAUAUUGAAAACCAUCUCUAAGGUCUUCCAAGAGGGGAUAUGUGGAAGAUACAUUUCAAUUUUCCACUGCAUUUCAACCUUAAUAUAAUGUGAUUAGCUACAGCAUUGAAAAUUAGCUUAAUACUGGCCCAUCUUAUUAUAGGGGCCAAGGAAAAACUUUCCCUUUAUCCUCUGAAGGUCCACUGUAAUCAACUGACACAAAAGGCAGAUUAAUAGAAGAAAAGGCAUAACCAUUUUAUUUUAAUGUACAUAGCACAGGAGAACUGAAGGAGAAUGAUUACCCUGCUAUCUUAAUUUAAUUCCAAUGUGGUCUGAGAGCAGACAUUGUAUGGUUUCUAUUAUUAUAAAUUGGUUAAGCUGUGCUUUAUGGCCCAGAAUGCAGCCUGUCUUAGUGAAUGUUCUGUGGGAGCUUGAGACGAAUGUGUUUUCUGCUGUUGCUGGAUGAAGUAUUCUAUAGACACCAAUUAUAUCCAGUUGAUUGAUGGUGUUGUUGAGUUCAACUAUGUUCUUACUGAUUUUCUGCCUGCUGAAUCUGUCCAUUUCUCAGAGGGAUGCUGAAGUCUUCAGCUAUACUAGUGGAUUCAUCUAUUUCUCCUUGUAGGUCUGUCAGUUUUUGCCUCCAUAGUUUGCUGCUCUGUUGUUAGGCACAUACCCAUUAAGGAUUUAACUAUGUCUUCUUGGAGAAUUGACCCAUUUAUCAUUAUGUAAUGUCUCUCUUUAUCCCUGAUAAUUUUCCUUGCUCAGAAGUCUGCUCUGAAAUGAAUAUCGCUACUCUCACAUUCUUUUCAUUAGUGUUAACCUGUUAUAUCUUUCUCCAUCUCUUUACUUUUAAUCUAUA